rnacentral:rRNA from 1 species
AUGACCCUGUGCGGGCCGAUCAAGAAGCACAUCAUCGAGCACUUCCACCACAAGAAGCCCGUGCCGCCUAAGCCGGAGCUCAAGCCCCAGCCCCACCCGGACUACGGCCCCGUGCCCAAGCCGGAGCCGAAGCCGCAGCCCCACCCGGACUACCACCCCCCUCCCACGCCCACCUACGGCGGCGGUGGCGGCGGCGGUGGAUACCACAGGCACCACUGA